UAUUAGAUGGUUGCAAGUUAAAUCCAAUGUGGAACAUAAGAGUUCUAUGUGAUAGAUGUUUGGUAACUAUCUUUGGCAACGUCGUACAAAUGCAUGACUUGAUACAACAGAUGGGUUGGGCAAUUGUUCGUAAAGAAUAUCGUGGAGACCCCCUCAAAUGGAGUAGAUUGUGGGAUGCUGAUGAUAUUUAUAAUGCAUUUUCUAGACAAGAGGUGAUGAAAAAUAUUCAAACCAUAUCUUUGGACUUGUCUAGAUCAAAAGAAAUACGGUUCAAUACAAAAGUGUUUGCUAAGAUGAAGAAACUUAGGUUGCUUAAAAUCUAUUGCAAUGAUCAUGAUGGUUUGACAAGAGAGGAGUAUAAAGUGCAUCUUCCUAAAGACUUUGAAUUUCCUCGUAAUUUGAGAUAUCUUCAUUGGCAAAGAUGCACUUUGAGGUCUUUACCUUCAAGUUUUUAUGGAGAGCAACUUAUUGAAAUCAACUUGAAGUCUAGCAACAUAAAAAGGCUUUGGAAGGGGAAUAAGUGUCUUGGAAAACUAAAGGGCAUUGAUUUAAGUCACUCAAAACAGCUUGUCGAAAUGCCAGAAUUCUCAAGCAUGCCGAAUUUGGAGAGACUGAAUCUUGAAGGUUGUACAAGUUUGCGUGAACUUCAUUCAUCUAUUGGUGAUCUCAAAUGGUUGACUUACUUAAAUUUAGGAGGAUGUGAGCAGCUCCAAAGUUUACCAAAUAGCAUGAAGUUUGAAUCUCUUGAAGUCCUUUAUCUCAACCAAUGUCCAAAGUUGAAGAAGAUUCCUGAGAUCCAUGGGAAUAUGGGACAUUUGAAGGAACUUUAUUUUAAUAAGAGUGGGAUUAAAGAGCUACCAAGUAGCAUUGCGUAUUUAUCAUCUCUUGAAGUCCUUGAUCUCUCGUAUUGUUCAAACUUUGAGAAAUUUCCUGAGAUCCAUGGGAAUAUGAAAUUUUUGAGGAAGCUUCAUCUAUGUGCAAGUGGUAUUAAAGAACUCCCAGACAGCAUUGGGUAUUUGGAAUCUCUUGAAAUUCUUGACCUCUCAUUUUGCUCAAAAUUUGAGAAAUUCCCAGAGAUAAGAGGGAAUAUGAAAUGUUUGAAGGAGCUUUCUUUAGAUGAGACUGCUAUUAAGGAACUCCCAAAUAGUAUUGGGUCCUUGACCUCUCUCAAAAUUCUUUCUCUUGAAAAAUGUUCAAAGUUUGAGAAAUUUUCAGAUGUAUUUACCAAUAUGAGACAUUUACGGAUUCUAAAUUUAUGUGAAAGUGGUAUUAAGGAACUCCCAGGCAGCAUUGGAUGUUUGGAAUCUCUUGCAGAUCUUGACCUCUCAAAUUGCUCAAACUUUGAGAAAUUUCCAGAGAUCCAAUGGAAUAUGAAAUGCUUGAGGGACCUUGAUUUACGCCACACUGCUAUUAAGGAACUCCCAAAUAGCAUUUGGUGCUUGCAGGACCUUGGAAUUCUUCACCUCGGUGGUUGCUCAAAUCUUGAGAGGCUUCCUGAGAUCCAAAAAGAUAUGGGAAAUCUAUAUCUUCUUUGUCUAGACGGAACUGCUAUUGAAGGAUUACCCUGCUCAAUAGGUCAUCUCACUGGACUUGCUAGGUUACAUUUGAAAAAUUGUAGAAACUUGAGAAGUCUUCCAAACAUAUGUGAGUUGAAAUCCCUUGAAGACCUUCUUAUCGAUGGUUGUUCAAAUCUAGAGGCUUUUUCAGAGAUCACGGAGGAUAUGGAACAAUUAGAACACCUUUUGUUACGUGAAACGGGCAUAACAGAGCUGCCAUCAUCAAUUGAACACCUGAGAGGUCUUGAUUCCUUGGAAUUGAUCAAUUGUGAGAACCUUGUGGCUCUUCCCAAUAGCAUUGGUAGUUUGACAUGUCUUACUAUUCUUCGUGUUCGUAACUGUACAAAGCUCCAUAACUUGCCUGACAAUUUGAGAGGCCUAUGGCGUAGCCUAAUAAAACUAGAUCUAGGUGGUUGCAAUCUGACGGAGGGAGAAAUCCCCAGUGAUUUAUGGUGCUUAUCCUCACUGAUAUUUUUAGAUGUAAGUGAAAACCAUAUUCGUUGCAUACCCGCUGGCAUCACUCAACUUUUUGAGCUCCGAACCCUUUACAUGAAUCACUGCCCGAUGCUUGAAGAAAUUGGAGAGCUUCCAUCAAGUUUAACAAAGAUGGAGGCACAUGGUUGUCCAUGCCUGGAAACAGAAACUUUCUCAAGUCCACUUUGGUCUUCUCUGCUCAAAUACUUCAAAUCACCAAAUCAGUCGUCAUUUGUCAUUCCAGGAAGUAGUGGAAUACCAGAGUGGGUAAGCCAUCAGAGAAUGGGGUGUGAAGUAAGAAUAAAGCUCCCAAUGAAUUGGUAUGAAGAUAACAACUUCUUGGGAUUUGUUCUAUUCUUCCAUCAUGUUCCCCUUGAUGAUGAUGAAUGUGAGACAACAAGAGGUGGUAUUGCACAUUGUGAAUUGACGAUAUCCCAUGGUGAUCAAUCUGAACGACUGGACAAGAUAUUGUUUUAUUCUGAAUGUAAAACCUACCGGAUUGGGAAUUUAUCAUAUGACGACGAAUUCGACCGCUACUGCAGUGGUAGCACAUCAGAUCCAGCAAUUUGGGUGACGUAUUUCUCAGUGUUUGAAAUUCCCCGUGAGUAUCGAUCCAGUCGGUGGAACAACUUUAAGGCUCACUUCCACACUCCAAUCGGUUAUGGCUCUUUUACGUGUGGCACUAACACAUGCUUUAAAUUGAAAAGCUGUGGGAUACAUCUCUUGUACGACCAAGAUCAGAUGCAUUGCCCUCAGCCGUCAAGAGGAAGCCUUGGUGACAGAGAAGAUCACCCAGCCUUCUCUAGUUUCCAAAAGAUCAAAGCUUUAUUUAAACCCUAGCAAGGUUCUUAUGCAGAGAAAUCAAAUCAGAAAAAAUGAAGACAUUUCUAGUUUCCAACUCUACUCAGCAAGGAUGCUGAUGGAAACAUGACUAACUAUUGGUCCUGGAAUCGGAAGUGGUGGCAAAGAUGCAGUAUUGAACCAGAAUGCGAAUACCAUGAAAGAGACUCUUUGUUUGGAUUGUGGAUUUUAAUUUGUAUGUUUUUAAGCAUGGAUAAUUUGAAUUGUGGAUUUGAAUUUGUAUGUUUUUAGGUAUCGAUAAUUUUAUUUA